GACGGGUGAGUAAUGCUUGGGAAUAUGCCUUAUGGUGGGGGACAACAGUUGGAAACGACUGCUAAUACCGCAUGAUGUCUACGGACCAAAGUGGGGGACCUUCGGGCCUCACGCCAUAAGAUUAGCCCAAGUGGGAUUAGCUAGUUGGUGAGGUAAUGGCUCACCAAGGCGACGAUCCCUAGCUGGUUUGAGAGGAUGAUCAGCCACACUGGGACUGAGACACGGCCCAGACUCCUACGGGAGGCAGCAGUGGGGAAUAUUGCACAAUGGGCGCAAGCCUGAUGCAGCCAUGCCGCGUGUGUGAAGAAGGCCUUCGGGUUGUAAAGCACUUUCAGUAAGGAGGAAAGGUUAGUCACUAAUAUUGGCUAGCUGUGACGUUACUUACAGAAGAAGCACCGGCUAACUCCGUGCCAGCAGCCGCGGUAAUACGGAGGGUGCGAGCGUUAAUCGGAAUUACUGGGCGUA
rnacentral:rRNA from 1 species